rnacentral:rRNA from 1 species
UAGUGAGUUGAUCCUGGCUCAGGAUGAACGCUAGCGGCAGGCCUAAUACAUGCAAGUCGAACGCCGGGUAGCAAUACCUGGAGUGGCGCACGGGUGCGUAACGCGUAACCAACCUACCUACAACUGGGGGAUAGCCCGCCGAAAGGCGGAUUAAUACCGCAUAACUCCACAGAGUGGCAUCACUUCAUGGAUAAAGAUUUAUUGGUUGUAGAUGGGGGUUGCGUGCCAUUAGCUAGUUGGCGGGGUAACGGCCCACCAAGGCGACGAUGCAUAGCCGGCCUGAGAGGGUG